rnacentral:rRNA from 1 species
UACGGGAGGGGCAAGCGUUAUUCAUCAUAAACGGGCGUAAAGAGCUCGUAGGCGGCUUAGCAAGUCAGGUGUGAAACCUCCAGGCUCAACCUGGAGACGCCACUUGAUACUGCUAUGGCUUGAGUUUGGUAGGGGAAGACGGAAUUCCUGGUGUAGCGGUGAAAUGCGCAGAUAUCAGAGAGGAACACCGAUGGCGAAGGCAGUCUUCUGGGCCAAAACUGACGCUGAGGAGCGAAAGCGUGGGGAGCGAACAGG